GGACAGGCUUUUAUGCCUCGGUCAACCGAGGUAGUAAAUCAUUGUGUCAUGUGCACAAUAUGACUUUGCAGAAAAGGCAUGUACUCUUAACAGGGUUAUAUGUCUCAGUUGUUUACUUAAUCGAGGCAAUAUACACCUUAUGCUUUGGUUCUCCUGAACCGAGUCAUAUAACCUUUUUUAUUAGUGCUUUAUGGUUCGGUUGCUGACUUAAUCGAGACAGUACACCUAUUACGCGUCGGUUCCUUUU
rnacentral:lncRNA from 1 species